rnacentral:rRNA from 1 species
GUGCCAGCCGCCGCGGUAAUACGGAGGAUGCGAGCGUUAUCCGGAUUUAUUGGGUUUAAAGGGUGCGUAGGCGGACGAUCAAGUCAGCGGUCAAAUGUCGGGGCUUAACCCCGGCCUGCCGUUGAAACUGGUUGUCUUGAGUGAGCGAGAGGUAUGCGGAAUGCGUGGUGUAGCGGUGAAAUGCAUAGAUAUCACGCAGAACCCCGAUUGCGAAGGCAGCAUACCGGUGCUCAACUGACGCUGAUGCACGAAAGCGUGGGGAUCAAACAGGAUUAGCUACCCUGGUAGUCCACGCAGUAAACGAUGAAUACUACCUGUUCGGCGCGAUUAAGCGCUGAGUGGGACAGCGAAAGCGUUAAGUAUUCCACCUGGGGAGUACGCCGGCAACGGUGAA